GAAAGUUAUGCGCCCCCUGCAGAUGAACCUUGGACAACUGGAAUUUUCAGUCAAUUGUUGCCAAAACUGCCUUGUCAACUGAAUGUGUCUCAUCUAAUGUUCUGGUACUUGUGUCUCAGUUCUGCUCUUAACUCAUCUCAGCCAUCAGUUAGCACCACUGAUACAUCUCUUUCUUCUGGCAAUGGAGCUUUGGAUACGUCUCCUUGUUCUAUGGAUAUCAUGCAUGCAGACAUCUUGAAAUUUUUGUUGGAUUGAUUCUGAGGGUCUUACAAGAAUGUCUGUUCUCACUUUUGUUGUGCAGGAUUUGGCAACUGUGGUUCCAGAUCUUGAACCAGCAGGAAUUGAUCUUCUGUCUUAAUAUGCCAAGAGGAAUCGUGGUUUGACUCUGUUAGUAUUCAGGAGUCUGACUCAGAUGAUGACUUCAUCAGCGUUCAUGGGGACUGCUUCCCUUCUGUAAGCAAUGCAAUUGGGAAUAUCUCAAGUGCACAGAAGCUACAGUAUGAAAGUGCAUCAUGCUUUAUGGAUGCCAUGUGUAAGUAUGAGGAACUUUAUGACAGCACCCCAAUAAAAUUUUCUGUUGAACAUUAUUUGAAAAUUGAUGGAAGCAAGACAGAAGUUGUUGGGGAAAGAUGAAUACAAAGAGGCUUGCAUAUUUGCAGUUUUAACUUCGCAAGGUUAUGAGCUAUCUUGUUUUGGAGUGUAGAACUCCGUAGCAGCCAUGAGAUGAAACAUGAACUUGUACUUUUGUACUUGUGUGCUUCUUUACACAUGUGUGCUUGUUUUUUACCGUAGAACUCUGUAGCAGCCAUGAGAUGAAACAUGAACUUCAUUCUUAGUUGAGAUCCAAGAGGCAAGGACACAAGACUUAAUAAUUUGGAAAAUUAUGUCUUGUUUUUGAAUCAUAAUUUCUUGUUUUGUUUCGACUUUGGAUGAUUUAUUUAUUUAUUUAUUUUGGGGGGGGGGGGGGUGGGGGGGUGUGUUAGCUUGUUAGUACACACCCAUGUCAGUACACACACUCCAAGUUAGCCACCCCCACUAGGGAUCGAUACCAAGACCUCAAGUGUUGAAAUGAGGUAUCUCCACUCAGUCUGCCAGUUGAGCUAUGGAUCUAGGUGUGGAUGAUAUUUCCAAGCUCGUGCUUGAAUUAUUUGAAGUGCCUAUGAUGGCUUUAAAUAUACUUUUGAGUUAUAACUACGAAAAAAAUAUGAUCAGAGGCACAUCCAUUUAUCUUUAUUUUUUUUCUUAAUUAUUCUCUAUUCAAUUUCAGAUGAUUGCUUUCAACUUAGAGAAUAGAGGCUUUAUUACUAGAACUCUAUUUAUAACAAUUCACAUUUAUUUUAUAAAUAUUUGUGCCCGUGAUUUUUUUGCUUUUUGUGCAGAUUUUGAAUAAAGGCUUUAUCAGCAUGCCUUGGCUGUCUUCUUGUAUUAAUUACAACAAGAAGUGUGUUCGCUUGGUAGUGUUCUUUCGUGUCUAAAUUUUUUUAAUUUCUUUGAGUUAUCCCAUAAUUCCAUUCUAUUGCAGUUUCCCCACACAUUUUACUUGUUAACGUCGAUGUUGAUAAUACAUAUGGCAUCACUUAAAAUAUUAUUUUGAAGACUGCAUUGUCUAGGUAACAUUUAUGUAUGUCAUUAAACCAUAUGGAUUCUUGUACUUCGGUGGA